rnacentral:lncRNA from 1 species
ACAACGUGGAGCGGCCGCAGAAUGUAAACACGCCGGAGCGCGCCGCCCGCCACGUGCGGAGCCGGAGCCAUCCGCCGGGCGACGAGCGGGCGGCGGCGCACAGGAAGGUGCCUCAGCGCGGCCGGACGAGGAAGGAUCGGGAUCACACCCAGACCAACAGCCAUACAUCACAGUGUGGGAGGAUUUGGCACAAUCCCCACCCCAGUGGGUCCGACCAUUCCUCCUACCCCAUUGUCCCGGCUCCAGGAUCCUGCCUGUCCAAGAGAGUGCUGUGAAGAGAAGCCGAAGCCGAAGCCACAGCCUAAAGAAGAUGGCGAGCACAGCACUCCACCGGCACCCACCUCUAAGAUCUACCCUGAAAUAGAAGAACCCCCUGAGUGGCCUAUUCCUCUGCCCUCACCUUAUCCUCGAGCUCCCCAACCUGUAUCCCAACCCUCUGCUCCUCCAUCCCCUCUUCUGGCCCUGGUCCCUGGGACCGGAGGAAGAGGAGGUCCCUCAACAGGGACGAGGAGCUGAUGGGGAGCCACCCCUGAAGGACCGGCCGACUCCACUGUAGCACUUCCCCUUAGGGCUGUUGGGCCACCCCCAGCCGAUCAGAAUGACUUACAACUUUUACAUUAUUGGCCCUUUUCUUCCUCUGAUCUUUAUAACUGGAAGAUUAAUCACCCUCACUUUUCAGAAAACCCUGCAGGGCUUACAGGCUUGAUAGAGUUCCUGAUGUACUCUCAUCAGCCUACUUGGGAUGACUGUCAACAGCUUUUACAGACCUUGUUCACCACUGAGAAGAGAAAGAGAAUUCUCAAAGCUCAGAAGAAUGUCCGGGAUGAUGCCGACACCCUGUCCAGACCCCGGCCGAGAUAGAUGAAGGAUUCCUCUUGACCCACCCUCAGUGGGAUCAUAACACGGCAUGAGGUAGGGAACAGUUAUCUAAUUACCGGCGGGCUCUAGUGGCGGGUCUCAGAGGUGCCAUACAAAGGCCCACAAAUUUGGCUAAGGUAAGAGAGGUUAUACAGGGGACGACUGACUCCCCCUCAGUCUUUCUUGAAUGACUCAUGGAGGCUUACAGAAGGUACAUCCCUUUUGACCCUAUGUCUGAAGGGCAGCGAGCUUCUGAAAUUAUGGCUUUUAUCAGACAGUCAGCCCCCGACAUCAAAAGGAAAUUGCAACGGGUUGAGGGAUUACAAGAUUAUACUAUAAGGGAUGUGGUUAAAGAGGCUGAGAAAGUAUAUCAUAAGAGAGAGACAGAGG